AAGCGUGCGCAGGCGGUUAUGUAAGACAGAUGUGAAAUCCCCCGGGCUCAACCUGGGAACUGCAUUAGUGACUGCAUAGCUGGAGUACGGCAGAGGGGGAUGGAAUUCCGCGUGUAGCAGUGAAAUGCGUAGAUAUGCGGAGGAACACCGAUGGCGAAGGCAAUCCCCUGGGCCUGUACUGACGCUCAUGCACGAAAGCGUGGGGAGCAAACAGGAUUAGAUACCCGAGU
rnacentral:rRNA from 1 species